rnacentral:rRNA from 1 species
CUCUUCUUGUAUAAUAUAUGAAGUAUAACCUGCCCACUGAUUUAAUUGAAGGGCCGCGGUAAUUUGACCGUGCAAAGGUAGCAUAAUCAUUAGUCUCUUAAUUAGGGGCUGGAAUGAAUGGUUGGACGAGAUGUGCACUGUCUUAUUUUGAAGUGUAGAAUUUAAUUAUUAAGUUAAAAAGCUUAAAUAUUUUAAUGGGACGAGAAGACCCUAUAGAGUUUAAUAUUUACAUUGAUGUUAAUGGUUUGUAUUAUUUGGUUUAUUAAUGUUAAUUAUUUUGUUGGGGUGAUAGGAAGAUUUAAUUAACUCUUUUUUUUGUUUAAUAUAGAUAUAUAGAAUUGUUGAUCCAUUCAUAUUGAUUAUAAGACUAAAUUACCUUAGGGAUAACAGCGUAAUCUUUUUUGAGAGUUCAAAUCGACAAAAGGGGUUGCGA